GAUGAACGCUAGCGGCAGGCUUAAUACAUGCAAGUCGAGGGGCGGCAGGGGUAGCAAUACCCGCUGGCGACCGGCAAACGGGUGCGGAACACGUACACAACCUUCCUUUAAGUGGGGGAUAGCCCAGAGAAAUUUGGAUUAAUACCCCGUAAUAUUAUUUAGUGGCAUCAUUAAGUAAUUAAAGCUCCGGCGCUUAGAGAUGGGUGUGCGGCUGAUUAGGUAGUUGGUGAGGGUAACGGCCACCAAGCCUUCGAUCAGUAACUGGUGUGAGAGCACGACCAGUCAC
rnacentral:rRNA from 1 species